AUUGAACGCUGGCGGAAUGCUUUACACAUGCAAGUCGAGCGGCAGCGCGGUCUUCGGACUGGCGGCGAGCGGCGAACGGGUGAGUAAUACAUCGGAACAUGCCCAGUCGUGGGGGAUAACACUUCGAAAGAAGUGCUAAUACCGCAUACGUCCUGAGGGAGAAAGCGGGGGAUCGCAAGACCCCGCGCGAUUGGAGUGGCCGAUGUCAGAUUAGCUAGGUGGUGGGGUAAAGGCCUACCAAGGCAACGGUCUGUAGCUGGUCUGAGAGGAUGAUCAGCCACACUGAGACUGAGACACGGCCCAGACUCCUACGGGAGGUAGCAGUGGGAAAUUUUGGACAAUGGGGGCAACCCUGAUCCAGCAAUUCCGCGUGAGUGAAGAAGGCCUUCGGGUUGUAAAGCUCUUUCGGCAGGAACGAAACGGCGAGCUCUAACAUAGCUCGCUAAUGACGGUACCUGAAGAAGAAGCACCGGCUAACUACGUGCCAGCCGCCGCAGUAACAC
rnacentral:rRNA from 1 species